rnacentral:rRNA from 1 species
AAGUCAGGUGUGAAAGCCUUCUGUUCAAAGGAAGAACGGCGUCUGAAACUGCAGAUCUUGAGUGUAGGAGGGGAGAGUGGAACUUCUGGUGGAGCGGUGAAAUGCGUAGAUAUCAGAAGGAACGUCGGCGGCGAAAGCGACUCUCUGGCCUAUUACUGACACUGAGGUGCGAAAGUUAGGGGAGCAAACGGGAUUAGAUACCCCGGUAGUCCUAACCGUAAACGAUGGGCACUAAGUAGAGGGAAUUACCAAUGUUCUCUCUGCCGUAGCUAACGCAUUAAGUGCCCCGCCUGGGGAGUACGGCCGCAAGGCUAAAACUCAAAAGAAUUGACGGGGGCUCGCACAAGCGGUGGAGCAUGUGGCUUAAUUCGAUGCAACGCGAAAAACCUUACCGGGGUUUGACAUGGUAGAAGUAGGAGCCUGAAAGGGCAACCAACGGUAUCCAGUCCGUAGCUAUCACAGGUGUUGCAUGGCUGUCGUCAGCUCGUGUCGUGAGACGUUGGGUUAAGUCCCCUAACGAGCGAAACCCUUGUUUUUAGUUACCAUCGGGUAGUGCCGAGUACUCUAAAAAGACUGCCGUCGUCAAGACGGAGGAAGGUGGGGAUGACGUCAAGUCAUCAUGGCCCUUAUACCCCGGGCUGCACACGUGCUACAAUGGUCGGUACAAAAGGAAGCAAGA